rnacentral:lncRNA from 1 species
CCAGUGUUUAUCUUAGCUUGCAUAAGGGCAUGUGUAUGUACAGUGAAAUGUGUAUUCUUGAUGUUUUUCCAAUAGCAGAAACUGAAUUCACACUGAAUUAGCAUGCUCUUGGGUGAUAUUGAUCAUGUGACAGAAAAACUGACAUAACUCUAAUGUGAGAAAUGUCCUUUUGUUCAUUCUUUAUGAAAAAAAUUUAAACACUAGUGCUCUUGUGUGCACUCUCCUGAAAGAUCUGUACAGAACCAAGCACUUGUUUAUACGUAUUAGUCUGUUGGAGAUAAUUACCAAAUAGGUUGAUUGUCCUAGUCUCAGACUGAAUGACUUUCUCUUUGCCCUAGUCACAAGGAAUUAAUAAACCUAGAUAGGAAUGUAUUUCCAUUCUCUCAGCUUACAAAUUUAAGUGGUUUAUGUCAGCGUUGACCCAAUUUAAGCCCAGUAAUGUCAGUUCUCCUUAUCUGAGCUCAAAUAGGAAUUAAGAAAUAUCCCGAAUGUUGAUGCUUAUCCAAGCAUUUGGGAAGUUAAAAGGGCAGAGGGCCAGACCAGCUCUAUCCUCUCUUCCUGCCAGUUGUUGCCCAUUUGCUGUGUUGAACUCUGUGUAAAGUUAUGCAUCAGUCUCUCUUUGCUAAAGCUUUCUGCAUGCCUUCUGCUCCCAAGUCUCUGGCUGCUUCUGCACAUACCCUGAACACAUUGUGCCUGUUUUCUAUGAUUGUGGAGAGUGAGUGAACAAGUUAAGUAUGUAGCACAGUUUUCCUUCUGGUAUUGGUCACAGUUAUAUUAGUGUCUAUCUACAUCUGUAUUCUAACAAUAUUCUGUAAUUAAAAGUAAAAUUUUU